rnacentral:tRNA from 1 species
GCCUCCGUGGUGCAGUGGAUAGCACAUUCGUCUGUUAGGCGAAAGACUUGGGUUCGAAUCCCAGCUGAGACG